rnacentral:misc_RNA from 1 species
GAUAUGGUGGAACCUAAUAGACCUCAAAUGUCUUUGAAACAUCCUGAUAUGCCAAAAUUUAUGGGCAAAAUCAACGAGUAUUAUAAAUUCGACAAUCAUUUUUUUAAAGUGCCGUACCGCCAAACUAAAUUUAUGGAACCAUACAAUAGAAAAUUAUUGGAAGAGGCUUAUAGCGCAAUUUUCGAUGCAGGUGUGAACCCUGCAUCGAUAUCAAGUGGAAAGAUUGGCGUUUUUAUUGGUUCUUCAUUUAGCGAUCAAUCUACAUGCGAAUAUUUAUAUAAUAAAAACAUCCAUUCUCCUUAUAAAGUAACAGGAUGCAGUAAGGGAAUGUUAUCAAACCGCAUAUCGUAUUGGAUCGACGGCAAGGCAAUGUCUUACACUAUAGACGCUGACACUGCUAGUUCGACUGUAUGUCUCACACAAGCUUAUAAGGCUAUUAGAAAUGGAUUGUGCGAUGCUGCUAUUGUUGGAGGCUGUAAUCAUUGUUUAAAUCCCAUGUUAUCUGUUAGCAUGCGAAGAGCCGGUCUCCUUACAUUGGAUGGGAAAACUAAAUGUUUUGACAAGAACGGAGAUGGGUACGUCAGGUCUGAAGCUUGUGGAACGAUCUUCCUACAAAGAGCCAAGGAUGCGAAAAGGAUAUACUGUGAAGUGUACUAUGCGAAGGAGAAAUUCUUUAUGAGCCCUGGUGGAGUUAUGUCAAUAGUGCACCAGCCAGAAGAUUUGGAAAAAUUCUUGUAUGAGUUUUAUAAUGAAAUCGAUAUAUCCCCUGAUAUGGUGGAGUACAUAGAAGCUAAUGCAGUUGGUAUCGCAGAAGCCGACAGUAACGAACUACAAGCAAUUGCAAAUAUAUUCGCUAAAAACAAAAGCAUAAAAAUAGGAUCUGUGAAAUCGAACAUGGGACACGGUGAAGCUGCUUCAGGAAUCUGUUCUUUGAUUAAAAUUUGUUUAGCUAAUCAUACUGGGAUACAGCCGGCAAAUCUUCAUUAUCAUGACCCCCCAGAUAACAUAACGGCUUUAAAAGACGGACGCAUUCAGGUGGUGACCAACAACAUGCCGCUCAACAGAGGCUACGUUGCCCUUAACUCUUUCAGUUUUGGAGGAUCGAACGCGCAUGUUCUUUUGAAGAAUAUUUACAAACCAAAGGAUAAAAGGAAAUCCAUAAGCCCAAUUCCUCAUCUGGUACUUGCUUCAGCAAGAACUGAAAGUGGUGUAAAAAAAAUUAUAAAUUAUCUGAAGAAUAAACCCAUAGAUCCAGAAGAGAUUGCGCUCCUACACAAUUUCUACAGCACGGAUGUGUCUGGUCAUGCAGCAAAAGGCUAUGUCAUUCUUGAUACCGACAAAAAUGAUAAAACAAUCACAUCUUCGGAAAGUACUCAACUUUACAACGGUGCGAAAAGACCAGUGUGGUUUCUGUACAGCGGAAUGGGGUCGCAGUGGGCUUCUAUGGGCGCUUCAUUAAUGAGAAUACCAAUAUUUGCCGCUGCAGUUCAAAGAUGCUGCAAGGUUCUAGAACCAAAAGGCGUAGACAUCAUACGGAUUUUGACUGAACCGGAUGAAACGAUUUUUGAUAAUAUUAUGAAUUCAUUUAUUGGCAUCGCUGUCGUGCAAAUUGGUCUCACAGACGUAUUAAAAGAACUGGAAAUUGUUCCGGAUAAUGUUAUUGGACACAGCGUAGGUGAGUUGGGAUGUGCGUAUGCACUUGGGUGCUUAACAGCUGAGGAAAUGGUACUAGCUGGGUAUUAUCGCGGGCUCAUCAGCGUGGAAGAAAAGCUACCUAAAGGAGCCAUGGCAGCUGUUGGACUCGGGUAUAAAGAUGUGUUACCUAUAUGUCCACCAGAAAUAGACAUUGCAUGUCACAACAGCUCAGCAUCAUGCACAAUAUCGGGUCCUUGUGAAGAUGUCAUGAAAUUUAUUGUUGAGUUGAAGAGUCGUGACGUGUUUUUUAAAGAAUUGAGGACUUCAAACAUCGCCUACCAUUCAAGAUACGUCGCCAAAUUAGGUGACAUGUUUCGUUCAAAACUAGAAGAUAUCGUUCCCAUAAAUAAAUUGAGGACCAAUAAGUGGCUAUCUACAUCAAUUUUACCACAAAAUUGGGACAAACCAGAGGCACAAUAUUGUUCAGCAGAGUACUUUAACAAUAACUUUUUGAGUUCUGUCUAUUUCGAAGAAGUGGCCACAAUGAUACCAAGUAAUGCAAUAGUCAUUGAAAUAGCUCCGCAUGGUUUACUGCAAUCUAUUUUGAAAAGUUCCCACGAGAGUUGCAUACAUGUGCCAUUGGCCAAACGAAAUCAUCAUGAUAGUCUGGGUUUCCUUCUCGAUGCUAUAGGCAAGUUAUAUGAAGCCGGUUUGACUCCAAAGAUAGACGCGUUGUACCCGAAGGUAACGUUCCCCGUGUCAACUAAAACGCCCAUACUGUCUCAUCUCGUUGAAUGGGAACAUAGUGAAGACUGGUUGAAGAGUGGUGGCGCGUAUGAUAAUAUAGCACCAUCUCGUGAGGUCAUCUUCUCAGUCCAUGACGACGAAUGGAGUUUUAUGAAGGAACACGCCAGAGAUGGUAUUCCCGUGGUUCCCGAAGCUGCAAUCCUAUUUCUGGUUUGGGAAGAACUAGGAAAUAGUCAUGGCGUUGAAUAUAAUAAACUUUCUAUAGGUUUCACGAAUGUUGAAUUUCAUGGUACUAUAAAUCAUUUACAAGAAGAUUUAAUAAAUAUAAAUGUCAACAUAAUGAGAGGAUCUGAAAAAUUUGAGGUGAAAUGGAAAGGUGAAAUAAUUAUUGCAACGGGUUACAUACAUGCUUAUGAUGAAAAUUAUUUGCACGAUUAUGUACACCUACUCGAAGCAGAAGAAAGCAACAUGCGACUCAACUCGAAAGACGUGUAUACAAUUAUGAACUUAAGAGGACAUUCUUAUGGGUCUAAAAUGCAGUCCAUACAUUUGUGCAAUUUCAAGCGUAACGAAGCAAAAAUAAAUUGGAAUGGUAAUUGGAUUAUGCUUCUUGACUCACUUCUGCAAUUAGGCGCAUUGGCGACAGAUUAUACAGAUAUGGUGGUACCAGUAUAUAUAAAUCAACUGUUCAUAGAUACUCUUAGACAUGAGGCGCUACUUAAUAAAGGAAAAUAUAAUGCAGUAGUCACGGGAGUUGAUGAAAAAAUAAUCCGAUGCGGACCCGUCGAAAUAAAGAAUAUCGUGUAUAAGCGAAAACCUAGGUCUAAAGAUGAAUGUGUUGUGCCACAAAAGGUGACGUAAAUAAAUAAGUUGCGUGCGUAAAAUUUUUAAGCAAUUUUGCCUACUCAUUUAUUGGCCACGUGGUAAAUAAGCGAUAAAUGAUUUGCGAGAAAUCGUAGACUACAAAUGGUUUGCCCAAACUAUGAUCAAAUGGUCACCUUUCCCAGUAUAUUUUUUUGCAUUAUUAAUAGUAUAGUCAAGUAUUCUAAUCUAAGUGUUUGGAACAAGAUAUGACGAUAAAAAAUGCAAUAUGUUCUAAAAAAUUGUUACUUACAGAUUAUUAAUCCAGAUUAUUUAUACGAAGAAAAUAAUGAUCCACAAGAAAUAAAAUUAACUAGUAUGGGGUGUGGAAAUUUUGAUAAAUUGUAUUGGGCUGCAUUUAAUGACAUAAAAUGCAGUGCAUCAGUGCAGGUUUCCUACGCUGGAGUAUCGAUAAAAGAUUGCUACAGAUUAAUGGGAAAUAUACCUGAAUGCGAUUCUUUUGGCAUGGAUUACAGUGGUAUCA